GUUUGUUUGAGCUCGUUUUGUCAGAUAUUCCCAGCGAUGUCGAGUCCCUCGAGCUUCCUGUUGUCUCGUGUUGCAGUAGUACCCACUCACCUAACCACCUACUGGGUUUUUGAACACUUUUCCACUUUGAAUGUGCAGAUAAGAACAUGUGAGCAGACUUAAAGUGAGGUAAUAGGACAGAUCACCUCAGACAUCUUCUGAAACAUCUGCAUCAUCAGGUCUACAGUCAACAUGAGGACUCUCAGCUUCACAGUGGGACUGCUGCUCGUGCUGUUCGCUGCUGUGAUGCCUCGUCUCGUUUAGUUUGCUGUUAUAAGUUCUUUGAAAACAGGAUCCCAAAGUCACACAUCCUCUCCGUCAGCAAAACCUACAGCCUUUGCUUAACACCGGCAUUUGUGAUCGAGACACCCAGAGGGGAGUACUGUGUGAGGCAGACUGGGAAGUGGGCAAAGACUGAAUUUAUCAAGCAAGAGACAAAGAAACAAUUAACACAUCAAGCACCUGCUGCAGCAUCAAUGAAUGACUCCAGCAGAAAUACAUCAACUAGCCCAUAAAGUCUCUUUGUAAACAUGAAGAGCUGCUGAACCUCUGCAUACUUUACCUGCUUAAAUACUGUUAAUAAUACUGACGAGAGGACACAUUUAUUGAGCACUGAUUUCAGAUGUUUCCAUUAAAAAUCAUAAUAUUAAAUUCAUAAUUUGGUUAAGAUGUUAAACAUCAGUAUUAACAUGUAUAUCAGUAAUAAAAUUGAUUAACAAAUUGUA
ensembl:lncRNA